rnacentral:rRNA from 1 species
AUUGAACGCUGGCGGCAGGCUUAACACAUGCAAGUCGAACGAGUGGCGGACGGGUGAGUAAUGCUUGGGAAUCUAGCUUAUGGAGGGGGAUAACUACGGGAAACUGUAGCUACUACCGCGUACCAUAGGAUGAGCCCAAGUGGGAUGAGGUAGUUGGUGUGGUAAAGGCUCACCAAGCCGACGAUCUCUAGCUGGUCUGAGAGGAUGACCGGCCACACUGGGACUGAGACAAGGCCCAGACUCCUACGGGAGGCAGCAGUGGGGAAUCUUGGGCAAUGGGGGCAACCUGACGGAGCCAUGCCGCGUGAAUGAAGAAGGCUUUCGGGUUGUAAAGUUCUUUUGUUAGCGAAGCGGUAACUACAGAAGAAGCACCGGCUAACUCCGUGCCAGCAGCCGCGGUAAUAC